rnacentral:rRNA from 1 species
AAUAGAUACCCAGGUAGUCCACGCCCUAAACGAUGUCAACUAGUUGUCGGGUCUUAACGGACUUGGUAACGCAGCUAACGCGUGAAGUUGACCGCCUGGGGAGUACGGUCGCAAGAUUAAAACUCAAAGGAAUUGACGGGGACCCGCACAAGCGGUGGAUUAUGUGGAUUAAUUCGAUGCAACGCGAAAAACCUUACCUACCCUUGACAUGUGCCGAAGUCCGCUGAGAGGUGGACGUGCCCGAAAGGGAGCGGCAACACAGGUGCUGCAUGGCUGUCGUCAGCUCGUGUCGUGAGAUGUUGGGUUAAGUCCCGCAACGAGCGCAACCCUUGUCAUUAAUUGCCCAUCAUUCAGUUGGGCACUUUAAUGAAACUGCCGGUGACAAACCGGAGGAAGGUGGGGAUGACGUCAAGUCCUCAUGGCCCUUAUGGGUAGGGCUUCACACGUAAUACAAUGGCGCGUACAGAGGGUUGCCAACCCGCGAGGGGGUAGCUAAUCUCAGAAAGCGCGUCGUAGUCCGGAUCGGAGUCUGCAACUCGACUCCGGUG